rnacentral:rRNA from 1 species
CAUGCUCCGGCCGCCAUGGCGGCCGCGGGAAUUCGAUUUUCCGGUUGAUCCUGCCGGAGGCCAUUGCUAUUGGAGUCCGAUUUAGCCAUGCUAGUUGUACGAGUUUAGACUCGUAGCAGAUAGCUCAGUAACACGUGGCCAAACUACCCUCUGGAGCGCGACAACCUCGGGAAACUGAGGCUAAUCGUGCAUACCGCUCUCACGCUGGAAGUUGCGGAGAGCUCGAAAUGCCCCGGCGCCAGAGGAUGUGGCUGCGGCCGAUUAGGUAGACGGUGGGGUAACGGCCCACCGUGCCAGUAAUCGGUACGGGUUGUGAGAGCAAGAGCCCGGAGACGGUAUCUGAGACAAGAUACCGGGCCCUACGGGGCGCAGCAGGCGCGAAACCUUUACACUGCACGCCAGUGCGAUAAGGGGACUCCAAGUGCGAGGGCAUAGAGCCCUCGCUUUUCACGACCGUAAGGUGGUCGUAGAAUAAGUGCUGGGCAAGACCGGUGCCAGCCGCCGCGGUAAUACCGGCAGCACGAGUGAUGGCCGCUCUUAUUGGGCCUAAAGCGUCCGUAGCUGGCCGCGCAAGUCCAUCGGGAAAUCCGCACGCUCAACGUGCGGGCGUCCGGUGGAAACUGCGUGGCUUGGGACCGGAAGAUCCAGAGGGUACGUCCGGGGUAGGAGUGAAAUCCUGUAAUCCUGGACGGACCACCGGUGGCGAAAGCGCUCUGGAAAGACGGAUCCGACGGUGAGGGACGAAAGCUCGGGUCACGAACCGGAUUAGAUACCCGGGUAGUCCGAGCUGUAAACGAUGUCUGCUAGGUGUGCCACAGGCUACGAGCCUGUGGUGUGCCGUAGGGAAGCCGUGAAGCAGACCGCCUGGGAAGUACGUCCGCAAGGAUGAAACUUAAGGGAAUUGGCGGGGGAGCACUACAACCGGGAGGAGCCUGCGGUUUAAUUGGACUCAACGCCGGACAUCUCACCAGCAUCGACAGUAGCAAUGAAGAUCAGUGUGAUGAGCUUAUCGGAGCUACUGAGAGGAGGUGCAUGGCCGCCGUCAGCUCGUACCGUGAGGCGUCCUGUUAAGUCAGGCAACGAGCGAGACCCGCACUCCUAAUUGCCAGCAACACCCUUGCGGUGGUUGGGUACAUUAGGAGGACUGCCAGUGCCAAACUGGAGGAAGGAACGGGCAACGGUAGGUCAGUAUGCCCCGAAUGUGCUGGGCAACACGCGGGCUACAAUGGUCGAGACAGUGGGACGCAACCCCGAGAGGGGGCGCUAAUCUCCGAAGCUCGAUCGUAGUUCGGAUUGCGGACUGAAACUCGUCCGCAUGAAGCUGGAUUCGGUAGUAAUCGCCGUUCAGAAGACGGCGGUGAAUACGUCCCUGCUCCUUGCACACACCGCCCGUCAAAGCACCCGAGUGAGGUCCGGAUGAGGCCCCUGUACGGGGGUCGAAUCUGGGCUUCGCAAGGGGGCUUAAGUCGUAACAAGGUAACCAAUCACUAGUGAAUUCGCGGCCGCCUGCAGGUCGACCAUAUGGGAGAGCUCCCAACGCG